rnacentral:rRNA from 1 species
UGCUUCGGUAAUUGACCUAGCGGCGGACGGGUGAGUAAUACUUAGGAAUCUGCCUAUUAAUGGGGGACAACAUCUCGAAAGGGAUGCUAAUACCGCAUACGCCCUACGGGGGAAAGCAGGGGAUCACUUGUGACCUUGCGUUAAUAGAUGAGCCUAAGUCGGAUUAGCUAGUUGGUGGGGUAAAGGCCUACCAAGGCGACGAUCUGUAGCGGGUCUGAGAGGAUGAUCCGCCACACUGGGACUGAGACACGGCCCAGACUCCUACGGGAGGCAGCAGUGGGGAAUAUUGGACAAUGGGGGGAACCCUGAUCCAGCCAUGCCGCGUGUGUGAAGAAGGCCUUAUGGUUGUAAAGCACUUUAAGCGAGGAGGAGGCUCUCUUGGUUAAUACCCAAGAUGAGUGGACGUUACUCGCAGAAUAAGCACCGGCUAACUCUGUGCCAGCAGCCGCGGUAAUACAGAGGGUGCGAGCGUUAAUCGGAUUUACUGGGCGUAAAGCGUGCGUAGGCGGCUUUUUAAGUCGGAUGUGAAAUCCCCGAGCUUAACUUGGGAAUUGCAUUCGAUACUGGGAAGCUAGAGUAUGGGAGAGGAUGGUAGAAUUCCAGGUGUAGCGGUGAAAUGCGUAGAGAUCUGGAGGAAUACCGAUGGCGAAGGCAGCCAUCUGGCCUAAUACUGACGCUGAGGUACGAAAGCAUGGGGAGCAAACAGGAUUAGAUACCCUGGUAGUCCAUGCCGUAAACGAUGUCUACUAGCCGUUGGGGCCUUUGAGGCUUUAGUGGCGCAGCUAACGCGAUAAGUAGACCGCCUGGGGGAGUACGGUCGCAAGACUAAAACUCAAAUG